UGCCUACCACACCAUGGCUUGCCAAGCGGUGCCAUGUCCGUACCCAGGAUCCAAACCGGUGAACCCCGGGCUGCUGAAGCAGAACAUGCGCACUUAACUGCUGCAUCACUGGGCCAGCCCCCUAGAUCAGACUUUUGAUUCUUUUAAUGGCUGUGAUAUAAAAACUUUAGGACAUUAAGCUUAAAGCAGUACAUUUCUUGUAUCCUUUAUUCUAUGUCUAACGUGAUGCCGAAAUAAUAUUUAAGUAUUAGGUAUUCUCCUCCUCUUCUGCUUAAAAGUGAUAGUCUAGGUAUCCAAUGGUGCUGCUUCCCAGGACUGCCGCUGCUCACUCAGCAGAGGGUGCAUGGUGGGCAGGGCUGAGAUGAUGUUAGCUGAGCCCCUGAAGCAGUAUCUGGCUUGCAUUUCCAACACGCGUUCCGACUCAUUUUUUCCCUUGAGCAGCAGCCGUGGACCUGUGCUAAAACGCAGUCACAGCUUCCUCUUGUCUUAUUUGGAUUACAAAUGGACAAGCUGCUCCUUUAUUUAUCUAAAAAGACAACAGUGUCAAGGGGUCAAAAGUCCCAUUUGGAGGCUUGUAUGAGGAUCCUACAUCAUUGUCCCAACUGUUGACAGAGGGAAAUCAGCCUUCGCUAGAAAUAAAGAGACAGGAGCCCAGCAGCAGAGCUGACAGUGCUGUCCACGUUGCUGGUGUUUUCGCUGAGUGGCCCCAGGGCAGCCUUUCCUCACAGGCCCCACCUUCACGUGUGUGGCAUAACCAGUCAGGCAAUGCUCUCCUCACCCUGGUCCCAGACGCACUGUUUCUCCCAGGAAUUCCUGAGUUUCUAAGUGGUCCCUGUUCCCCAAUACUGAUACAGACUUUCCCCAUUUCUCUGUUUCUUUGGUCCACUCAGGAAGCCUCUUGGAGGAAGGGGAGUGAAGGGUGUGGGCUCAGGUGGCCACUGAAAUGGCCCCACACUGCACAUUCAAGGCCCUCUUUGAGCAGGGCCAGUGUGGCAGUUGCAUUUGAAGGCUCUCUGUUCUGAUUCUGCCAGCACACUCAUGAUCUGCCUUUCCUUCUCGUCUGUACCAUGCCUCCAGGCCCUGUGGCAGGUGUCAGGACACUGGCCCUUUCCUCAUGGUGACAGGUGUUCCUGUCCCUGGCUGCCCCGUUCUCCUGGUGACUCAGAUGGAAGCCUGGGAUUUCAACUCAGGUUUUCAUGGCUUUCCCUCUUGGAGUCCACACUUAAGAGCUUUUGCCCUAAAGUCAGGUUGAGCGUCAGAUCCUAGUGCUGCAUCUCCAGAUAAAGUCCUGCUGGGAAAGGCAAAUGAUCAAGGAAUGAGGCCAGAAGGAAAAGGACAGGGUGUGGCCCUCAGGGCUGCCCUGGAGGAACUGAAAGAUGACGAGGAGGAACAUUUUCUAAUAAAAACUGGUGGAAACCUCUUGAGUGUGUCCAGAGUCUAGGUGACCUUGAGGCUGAGAGACCUUCGGAGUGACGUGCUAAGGUCUCAAGUGCCCGCUUCAUGGGCUUGCUAGGUCAGUGGUUCGCACACGUCAGCCUGAGUCAGAGUCAGCUGGAGUCUGGUUAAAGCAGACACUGGCUCCAGCCCCAGCCUUUCUGACUCUGGGUAGGUCUAGGAUGAGGCUUGAAAAUUUGUGUUUCUAACAAGUUCCUGGGCCAUGUUAAUGCUGCUGGAGCAGGGACCACACUUUGAGAACCGCUGCUCUAGUUAGUCCCGUUUUUCUUCUGCAGUGAGGCUGUUGGGGUCCGCCUCCUCCUGCUGAGUCACCUACUCCUGCCCGUCAGAAGUGUGAGCUCCUGCCACCCCAGGGUGUUGCACCACCUGUUCUGUUACAGGCAUACCUCGCUCUAUUAUGCUUCGCUUCAUCGUGCUUUGCAGAUACUGCCUUUCUUACAAGACCCUCCAUCAGCAAAAGGAUUACGACUCACUGAAGGCUCAGAUUCUGGUUGGCAUGUUUUAGCAAUACUGUAUUUUUUGAUUAAGCUAUGUACGGUGUUUUUUAGACAUAAUGCCAUUGCAUAUUUAAUAGACUACAGUAUAGCGUAAACUUGACUUUUAUAUGCACUGGGAAACAAGAAAUUUGUGUGACUCUAUUGCAAUAUUUGCUGUAUUGCAGUGUUCUGGAACCGAACCUACAGUAUCUCAGGUCUGCCUGUACUGCAGGUCACGUGGGGCCCUUGCUAGGUAACUUGAAGGGAAAUCAGAGGAGCAUCAGAGAAUCACCUGUCUCCUGCCACAGGUUUAAAAUGCAGAUCCCUGGGCCCCACCAUCAGAGAUUCUGCUCCAGCAGAGUUGACCUGAGGCCUGGAAAUCCACAUUUCUAACAGUGAGCAAAACGUCUGCUGGGACCAUGCAGGAGAGGCCUGGAAGCGUGAGCUCACUCUGCCAGGAUCCCCAAAGAAGAGGACAAGUGCAGAGUAUUGUCUCCUUUAAGGUAGGUGGGAGCAAGGAACAAUAGUGAGCCUCGGGACUUGGGGAGGAGUGUGUGUGAGAGAAAACACACACACACACACACACACACACACACACACACACACACCCCCACCCCCCCCCCGCAGGAACUAGAGCUACCAGGGGCAGAAAGUGAAGAAAUCCACCGGGAGCAGGUGUAAGCUCCAAGAGAGCAGGGGUCUUGCUGUUGUGUUCGUUGCUGUAUCCUCUGCACCUCCAUCAAGGCCCAACACGUGCUUCUGAAUGAAUGUGAGCACGAGUGGCUUCUGGUGAGAGUGCGCUGCCCCAGGAAACAGAUAACAUCACGCUUCCAAGACCAAAAUGACAAAAACAAGACACAAUUUUUUGUUUGGGGAACUAAAAAAAUCCCUUAGUUUUGAAAUUUGAAAUCUUAAUGGAAAAAUUUAAAUAUGCUAUGAUAAUAUUGUGAACUAUGUUUGUGGGCUGGGAGAUCAAGUGGAAGAAAUCAUCAAAUUUUACACAAAGGGUCAAAGAACUGGAAAUAAUGGAGUAGAGGAGAGGCUCAGACUCAAAUCUGUGAAUAUAAGGAGAAGGCAACAUCAUGGGAGGAGGGGAAAUAAUUAUAGAAGUAAUUGAGGAAAAUUUCCACAGUUUGGGAAAAGAGUCUGCAGAUUAGAAGGGUCCACUAAAUUCUAGCUGGAGUUACGGGCAAAGGCAUACACCUAGGCAUAGCCUAUACAAAGUAUUGAAUUUCAAGGAUAAAAACUGUUACAAGCAUCCAGAAGAAUAAAUACUUGGAAAGUAAAAGGAACCAGGCUAGUAGCAGACUGUCAUCUGUAGCACUGGGAGCUUGGAGACAGUGACAUUCCCAGGCUCUGAGGAGAGAGGACUGUCAGAACCAAUUAUCCUGAGCCCAGCCGUAUGACCCCCUCUCGGGUUGAGGCAGCCUGACUGUGUGUGUUAGCCCCCCUGCAGCCUGUUCAUGGGCACUUCAGUGCCUCACCUCACGUCCACGUGGGUGAGUGAGAUGGUCCAGGCAUGAGCCUUUUAAAGGACUGGUCAGGUGGAGGCUGGGCGUGCAGAGGUAGAGCAGGUGUAUCUAGCCGAUAGACGUGGGGUCUGUCAUCAAAUGAAGUGGUGACUAUAGCUCAGAAUCUUAGCAAACUGAAAUUGAUCAGCCCCUUAGAGAUCAUCUAAUCAGUCAUCCCAUUUCACAGAUGAAGAAACUGAGGCCCAUUGAGAAAUGAUUUUCACAAGGUGUCAGAAGUAAUGACAAGCAGAGUAAGGACUGGAAUCCCUGUCUCUUGACUCCAAUUUGGUAUUUUUGUUAUUAAACUCUUUACUCACAUUCUAUAUGGGUAGAUAAAUUCCACUUUUUUACCCUAUAUCUAUUUACAGAUACGUAGCUACACAUAUAAUAUUCUUUCACCAUUUAAUCAUUGGAUCAAGAAGUGUUUACUGAACACAGGAGGUGAACUAGACGUACAUUGUCCUGGUCAUUAUGAAACUUAGUUUCUAAACUAAACUUUCAAAAGGAUUUCCAUACUAUCAUUAAGAGACAUCAGCCAGUCUUUCCUUCCUAUCAGUAGCAACUCAAGAGAUGCAGUCUUCCAUGGCUACCAGGAUUCAAUAGAAAGUGCCCAAACUGGAGUAGCAGUUCUAUCAUUGUCCCCAUCGACUCCUCCCUGAAUCCAUACACGUUGCCAAGUGACUCAGCAGUUCCUUCCAUGCAAGGUGGAGAAUAUGUCCACAGUCUACUGUUAUUGGGCUUGGCCAUGGAAUUGCUUUGGCCGAUGGAAUGUGGGUGGAGGUGACGGGGUACCAGUUCUGAGCUGCUCACUGAGUUUCUGCUCACCCCUCUUUCAUUUCUGCCACUCCCAUGAGAAGAACAUGCCCAAGUUAGCUCACAGGUCCCAGAAGAAUAAAGGAAAGUAGAGCAGAGCACACCCCAGCCUUCCGCAGCCUGAUGCACAGGUGCCCCAGCUGGUCUGUACGACUGUGAGCGUGAUAACGUAUGCUGCUGCUUGUAUGCCAUGGACUUCCGAGGUGGUUUGUCAUGCAGCAGGCGCAAACUAACACAUUGAACAGCGUGCCGCAGCUCUCCCAGAUCCAGCUCUGGUUACCAGGAAGACAACCACCAUUCCACCAAGAAUCAGCCUUCCCUCAGCCUUUCCAGUCUUCACUUCUGGCUGCCUUCAGUGAUCUCUCUUGAAGAAACAACGGCUUGGUUCUUGUGUGCAUUCUGCAUUUCAACACAGUAAGCCCAACAUCAAUCAUUGAAAAUGAUAAUGGGUAACCCCAAGAACUCUGCAAUGGCUUCCUGCACCCCUUAACAGGUGGAUAUGCUAUCACGUUAUUAGCACACAUCAGGGCACACAAUAGGUUGACUAAGCAUGGGCUAAGAGGACCACGAAGCAAAGAUGCAAAAAAAUAUAUUUUGAAGGAAUCUGAUAUGUUUUUUAAAAAGUAUGAGAAAAA